UUAGAAGGGGUGGGGCACAUCAUUAGAUCAGAGGCAAACGGGACAAGACCCAGAGCAUGAUAGAUAAGGGGGCCACAGCUCUGACGUCAUCACCAUAUGCAAAUGAUCUGGUGGCCUUAAAGGACACCUUUGCGAGCUGUCAUGAGUCUGUGAACAACGUGGUGGUGUUGGAGACGUGCUGGCUGUUGUAAACCAGAGCAGCGUGGUAAUAGAAAACAACCAACGCCCUUAAUUAACACUUUUUUUCUUCAAGAGGAGAGAGGACAACGCAGACAGACCAGACAUGGAGGUUUAUUCAUUUAGGCAAUGUCAUCAUGGGACAUUGUUCGUUAGUCUUGUACCCUGGACAGGAUAUCAUCAUAUACUGUAAGUUCGUUAUGGUGACACUACAGUAUAGAUGAUGUACUAUCCAGGGUCUCAUUCCCCCUCCGGAUACUAUCAGCACACACACACAAGCUGUUGACGGUUGGAAGCUAGAGGGUGGCAAUCUAACCGUUACCAUUACUGAGUUUUAGCAAUGGUAAGGGUUCUAUUGAUGCCUCUCAAUGUCAUAGCUACAAUAGUACACACAUGGACGGAUGCUGCUGGCGGUUGGAAGCUAGAGGGUGGCGCUCAAACCGUUACCAUUACUGAGUUUUAGCAAUGGUAAGGGUUCUAAUGCUGCUUCUCAAUGUCAUCUGGAGUUGUGUUAAAGGAAACUAAAAACUGGUGGACUGGUCUCGUCUUCCUGGCAAGAAGUCGCAUUUGAUUACAAUACCUUAGUGAUACCAAGAGCCAAAGUUGUGUUUAAGAGCUGAUUUUGAUAUUGUAAGAUGCUUGUUGACUUGUGAAAUAAUGUUUAAAAUUAAAAACCAAAGAAUGACUA